GACGAACGCUGGCGGCGUGCUUAACACAUGCAAGUCGAACGGAAAGGCCCUGCUUUUGUGGGGUGCUCGAGUGGCGAACGGGUGAGUAACACGUGAGUAACCUGCCCUUGACUUUGGGAUAACUUCAGGAAACUGGGUCUAAUACCGGAUAGGAGCUCCUGCUGCAUGGUGGGGGUUGGAAAGGUUCGGCGGUUGGGGAUGGACUCGCGGCUUAUCAGCUUGUUGGUGGGGUAGUGGCUUACCAAGGCUUUGACGGGUAGCCGGCCUGAGAGGGUGACCGGCCACAUUGGGACUGAGAUACGGCCCAGACUCCUACGGGAGGCAGCAGUGGGGAAUAUUGCACAAUGGGCGGAAGCCUGAUGCAGCAACGCCGCGUGCGGGAUGACGGCCUUCGGGUUGUAAACCGCUUUCGCCUGUGACGAAGCGUGAGUGACGGUAAUGGGUAAAGAAGCACCGGCUAACUACGUG
rnacentral:rRNA from 1 species